UCCGUAGGCGGAUUGAUAAGUCAGAGGUGAAAUCCCACAGCUUAACUGUAGAACUGCCUUUGAAACUGUUAGUCUUGAGUUAUAUGGAAGUAGAUAGAAUGUGUAGUGUAGCGGUGAAAUGCAUAGAGAUUACACAGAAUACCGAUUGCGAAGGCAGUCUACUACGUAUAUACUGACGCUAAUGGACGAAAGCGUGGGGAGCGAACAGGAUUAGAUACCCUGGUAGUCC
rnacentral:rRNA from 1 species